AGUCCAUUCCGAAGUUGUAGUUUGUUUUGACAUUUCCGUUUUAUUUAACCUAACCUAUGUUUUGUGUUUUAUUGUGUUGUAUUGUUGUAUACAAGGAGUUGUAUAUUGAAAUUGAAUUGAUUCUUGUUUCAUUGAAUAUAGAGGAGUUGUUCUGUUGCAAGUUGUUCUAGUUUUGUUGUUUUAAAAUCUGCGAAAAACUAUUUAUAGAUAAUGGUGAACUUAAACAAGAAAUGGACAUGCAGUUUGCUGAUUACUUAAUUGUGUACUCACAACACAUAGGAUUUCUCUGACACAGUUUCCAGUACAGAACUGCCACAGGAAUCUCCAGUGGAGUUGCAACCGCUCUCACGGACGUCCACAAAUCAAGUUACAAAACUGUUACAUGACUCUAUUGGAGUUGCAACCGCAAUUGGAUAAAAGUGAAAUUCGAAUAAUGCCAGAAAGACUAUAACCGUCCAAAGUGAUAGUGUGAAAUUAAAAUCAAAUGAUUACGUAUAAAUCAUAUUUAUAAUAAUUAUAAAUAGUAGCUGUAUUUUUUAAAUAAACAGAUUUGAUAAGUUA
rnacentral:lncRNA from 1 species